rnacentral:rRNA from 1 species
UACGUUCCCGGGCUUGUACACACCGCCCGUCACGUCACGAAAGUCGGUAACGCCCGAAGCCGGUGGCCCAACCCUUGUGGAGGGAGCCGUCGAAGGCGGGAUCGGCGAUUGGGACG